UUUUUGGAGAGUUUGAUCCUGGCUCAGGGUAAACGCUAGCGGCGUGCAUUAGGCAUGCAAGUCAAACGGGCAGUAGCAAUACUGCAAGUGGCAGACGGGUGAGUAACGCGUAGGAAUCUACCCUAAAGUGGGGGAUACCCCGCCGAAAGGCGGGCUAAUACCGCAUGUGAAGGCAACUUCAAAGUACAUAACUGUACGCUUUAGGAUGAGCCUGCGUCCCAUCAGCUUGUUGGUAGGGUAAAGGCCUACCAAGGCAACGACGGGUAGCUGGGCUGAGAGGCUGUCCAGCCACAAUGGCACUGAGACACGGGCCAUACACCUACGGGUGGCAGCAACCGGGAAUCUUCGGCAAUGGGCGAAAGCCUGACCGAGCGACGCCGCGUGGAGGAUUAAGGCCUUCGGGUUGUAAACUCCUUUUGUUAGGGAUUAAACUCUGCGAAAAGUUGGUAAUUAAGUUCAUAAGUAUUAGCACUCUCAAAAGUAAGUGCUAAGCACUCGUGGAUAAAUUUUGCCAAUUUCUCGCAGAGUUGACAGUACCUUUCGAAUAAGCCGCUGCUAACUACGUGCCAGCAGCCGCGGUGAAACGUAGGCGGCAAGCGUUACCCGGAUUUACUGGGCGUAAAGAGUGCGUAGGCGGUUUGGAAAGUCACUAUUGAAAUUUCUCCGCUCAACGGAGAACCCGGUAGUGAUACUUUCAGACUGGAUGGUUAGAGGGAGUACCGGAACAGUUGGUGGAGCAGUGAAAUGCGUUGAUAUCAACUGGAACACCAAAGGCGAAGGCAGGUACUUGGCUAAUUCAUGACGCUGUUGCACGAAAGCGUGGGGAGCAAAACGGAUUAGAUACCCGUGUAGUCCACGCCGUAAACAAUGGACACUAGAUAUUGGAGGUGUUGACCCCUUCAGUGUCGUAAGCUAACGCGUUAAGUGUCCCGCCUGGGGAGUACGGCCGCAAGGCUAAAACUCAAAGGAAUUGACGGGGACCCGCACAAGUAGGGGAACGUGUGGUUUAAUUCGAGACAAAACGAAAAACCUCACCAGGGUUUGACAUGUACGUUUUAGGACCUCGAAAGGGGAACAAACCGCAAGGUAGCGUACACAGGUGCUGCAUGGUUGUCGUCAGCUCGUGUCGUGAGAUGUCGUCUUAAGUGACUCAACGAGCGCAACCCCCAUCAUUAGUUGUAUCACUCUAAUGAAACUGCCUCGCCGCAGGCGGGGAGGAAGGUGGGGACGACGUCAAAUCAUCAUAGCCCUUAUGUCCUGGGCUACACACACGUUACAAUGGUAGUACACAACGCGCUGCGAACUCGCGAGAGCAAGCUAAUCGCUAAAAAGCUACCUCAGUUCAGAUUGCAGGCUGCAAUUCGCCUGCAUGAAGAUGGACUUACUAGUAAUCGCAGAUCAGCAUGCUGCGGUGAAUACGUUCUCGGGUCUUGUACACACCGCCCGUCAAGUGAGCAAAGUUGGGGGCACCCGAAGCCGGUUGUCUAACCGCAAGGAGGACGCUGUCGAAGGUGAACUCAGCGAUGAGCGCUAAGUCGUAACAAGGUAUCCCUAGGGGAAUCUGGGGAUGGAUCACCUCCUUU
rnacentral:rRNA from 1 species